AUGGCCAUGUUACAUUGAAACAUUGGUUCCCAUAUGAUCACUGAAAUUAAGCAACAUCAAGCUUGGUCAGUACCUAGAUGGGUGACUGCAUGGGAAUACCAGGUGCUGUAAG
rnacentral:rRNA from 1 species